GGGGUGCAGUGGUGUGAUCCCAGCUAGUGGUGUGAUCCCAGCUGACUGCAGCCUCAAGCAAUCCUCUCAGCCUCCUGAGUAGCUGGGACCAUGGGUAUGCACCACCACGCUUGUCUUUCUGGGGUUUUGAGAUGAUGGCAUUGCCAUGUCUCUGCAGAAAUAACUUCUUCAGGCAUAUGUCAGCUACAAGGAGGCAUUAUUUAAAUGAAACAGUAGGUUCUGAGAAACAGAAGAGUAGGUUUGGGAAAGUUCUCACUCACGUGCUUGUAAAAAAUAAAGCAAACUGCUAGCAUCAGAGUGGGCAGUUAGCAGCCGCCUUUCAGAACAGGAAGCAAAA
rnacentral:lncRNA from 1 species